CGUAAGGCGCCGAAUGAGUCAUUAUAAAAAUUAACAUCAUCCGAUCCCUAGUCGGCAUAGUUUAUGGUUAAGACUACGACGGUAUCUGAUCGUCUUCGAUCCCCCUAACUUUCGUUCUUGAUUAAUGAAAACAUCCUUGGCAAAUGCUUUCGCAGUAGUUAGUCUUCAAUAAAUCCAAGAAUUUCACCUCUGACAAUUGAAUACUAAUGCCCCCAAUAUCCCUAUUAAUCAUUACGUCGAUCCUAGAAACCCAACAAAAUAGAAUCAAACGUCCUAUUUCAUUAUUCCAUGCUAAUGUAUUCAAGCGCGAGCUUGCUUUAAACACUCUAAUUUUUCAAAGUAACAGUCCUGAUUUCCCACGACACCAAAUUAAUGACAUCGUGGUUCGUCAGAAGGGAGAAACCAAUAAUGCUAGUACGUACAAAGUACGACCGACAUAUUAGUCCCGAAAUUCAACUACGAGCUUUUUAACUGUCAACAACUUUAAUAUACGCUAUUGGAGCUGGAAUUACCGCGGCUG
rnacentral:rRNA from 1 species